rnacentral:rRNA from 1 species
GAGCACCCGAAAGGGUGUGACUGCGUACCUUUUGUAUAAUGGGUCAGCGACUUAUAUUCUGUAGCAAGGUUAACCGGAUAGGGGAGCCGUAGGGAAACCAAGUCUUAACUGGGCGUUAAGUUGCAGGGUAUAGACCCGAAACCCGGUGAUCUAGCCAUGGGCAGGUUGAAAGUUGGGUAACACUAACUGGAGGACCGAACCGACUAAUGUUGAAAAAUUAGCGGAUGACUUGUGGCUGGGGGUGAAAGACCAAUCAAACCGGGAGAUAGCUGGUUCUCCCCGAAAGCUAUUUUAAGUAGCGCCUCGUGAAUUCAUCUUCGGGGGUAGAGAACUGUUUCGGCUAGGGGGUCAUCCCGACUUACCAACCCGAUGCAAACUACGAAUACCGAAGAAUGUUAUCACGGGAGACACACGGAAGGUGCUAACGUCCGUCGUGAAGAGGGAAACAACCUAGACCGCCAGCUAAGGUCCCUAAGUCAUGGUUAAGUGGGAAACGAAGUGGGAAGGCUUAGACAGCCAGGAUGUUGGCUUAGAAGCAGCCAUCAUUUAAA